rnacentral:rRNA from 1 species
CACCGGUGGCGAANGCGCCUUUCUGGACUGUGUCUGACGCUCAGAUGCGAAAGCCAGGGUAGCGAACGGGAUUAGAUACCCCNGGUAGUCCUGGCCGUAAACGAUGGGUACUAGGUGUGGGAGGUAUCGACUCCUUCCGUGCCGGANUUAACGCAAUAAGUAUCCCCCCUGGGGGAGUACGGUCNCAAGACU